rnacentral:rRNA from 1 species
UACGUAGGGUGCGAGCGUUGUCCGGAAUUACUGGGCGUAAAGGGCUCGUAGGCGGCCAACUAAGUCAGACGUGAAAUCCCUCGGCUUAACCGGGGAACUGCGUCUGAUACUGGAUGGCUUGAGUUCGGGAGAGGGAUGCGGAAUUCCAGGUGUAGCGGUGAAAUGCGUAGAUAUCUGGAGGAACACCGGUGGCGAAGGCGGCAUCCUGGACCGACACUGACGCUGAGGAGCGAAAGCCAGGGGAGCAAACGGG